CAGAGCCUGGGGGAGACAGUCCAGCACUCCGGUCUCAGGCCUGCGGGGUCCCCAGCUCUCUGGCGGCCACCUCCAUGGCCCAGAUCCCAUGACCCCCACCCACAUUCCCACUCUCAGCGCCGAGAGAAGCCCGGAUGAGCCCAGACCUUGCGCGAGAUGCGUUCACAGCCGGUGCCUCCGCUCAGCGCUCAGCGCUCACCCACAUUGCAACUGUCCGAAAUUAGACACCUUCACCCGUCCCGGCAGCGGUGCCAGCGCGUCCCUAGCUUGAGAGGCCAGACGCGUGUUGUCGGCGCUAAUGCCCACUGCAGCUGAAUGUGGCUCUCAGAAUGAAAAGCGCGUAGUGAAGAUAAAAUCUCCCCUGCUCUGCAACGUAAGAGGAAACAGCAAAUGGCUACGGAGAUGGAUUGCUUUCUCCCGCUUCCUUGGCUCAUCACACCUCGGGCUGCUGCGGAGCCUGCCCCUCCACACCUGCAGACUCCAGGCACAGGAGCCGGGGGCCAAGGGCAGAAAGCAGGUCUUUCCUCACUCAGAGAAAAGAGCGUGGGCCAGGUCUGC
rnacentral:lncRNA from 1 species